rnacentral:rRNA from 1 species
ACGCUCGACACCUAAGGAGGCAGCAGUGGGGAAUAUUGCACAAUGGGGGAAACCCUGAUGCAGCGACGCCGCGUGAGCGAAGAAGUAUUUCGGUAUGUAAAGCUCUAUCAGCAGGGAAGAAACUGACGGUACCUGACUAAGAAGCACCGGCUAAAUACGUGCCAACAGCCGCGGUAAUCUGAGCGGGCUGGCAAGGC